rnacentral:lncRNA from 1 species
CUCACCAGUAGGAAGAUAUGACUUGUCCGCCCAAACCUUAGCUGCAGUGUAGUACUUAUAGUCCUUGCUAGCUACCUUGGAUCAAGGAUGUUUGAAAGCAGCAAUUCUGUGGGAAGUGUGGGACUGGAAAGAUAGAUUGGAGUGCUGCUGAGGAAAACAUUGUGACUGUAUGAUACUGAAGAGGGUCGUGUGCUAACCUCCCAAGAAAAGUAGAUUGAAGGGUAUGCAAACAUGGGAGAAACAACUGUGCCUAGCAUGAAACUCCAUGAGUUACUGUGAUUUCCGUGGCCCACGUGAAAUGAGAAAAACC